UUGAACGCUGGCGGCAGGCCUAACACAUGCAAGUCGCACGGUAACAGGAAGCAGCUUGCUGCUUCGCUGACGAGUGGCGGACGGGUGAGUAAUGUCUGGGAAACUGCCUGAUGGAGGGGGAUAACUACUGGAAACGGUAGCUAAUACCGCAUAACGUCGCAAGACCAAAGAGGGGGACCUUAGGGCCUCUUGCCAUCGGAUGUGCCCAGAUGGGAUUAGCUAGUAGGUGGGGUAACGGCUCACCUAGGCGACGAUCCCUAGCUGGUCUGAGAGGAUGACCAGCCACACUGGAACUGAGACACGGUCCAGACUCCUACGGGAGGCAGCAGCGGGGAAUAUUGCACAAUGGGCGCAAGCCUGAUGCAGCCAUGCCGCGUGUAUGAAGAAGGCCUUCGGGUUGUAAAGUACUUUCAGCGGGGAGGAAGGGAGUAAAGUUAAUACCUUUGCUCAUUGACGUUACCCGCAGAAGAAGCACCGGCUAACUCCGUG
rnacentral:rRNA from 1 species